UACGGAGGAUGCAAGCGUUAUCCGGAAUGAUUGGGCGUAAAGCGUCCGCAGGUGGCUGUGUAAGUCUGCUGUUAAAUAGUGAGGCUCAACCUCAUAAAGGCAGUGGAAACUACACGGCUAGAGUGCGUUCGGGGCAGAGGGAAUUCCUGGUGUAGCGGUGAAAUGCGUAGAGAUCAGGAAGAACACCGGUGGCGAAAGCGCUCUGCUAGGCCGCAACUGACACUGAGGGACGAAAGCUAAGGGAGCGAAUGGG
rnacentral:rRNA from 1 species